UAGGAUGUAGUACAAAGGAAACAGAGAAUUUUGAGUUCUUAUAUGUAGGUUCAACUUCUAUUGUUCUAG
rnacentral:tRNA from 1 species